GGACAGGUGGGUGAGUGGCUUAAACCAGGGGAUUACUAAUCCUCCGAACGUUCAUAGCGUUCCGUGGGUUCGAAUCCCACCCUGUCUGCCA
rnacentral:tRNA from 1 species